rnacentral:rRNA from 1 species
UACAGAGGAGCCAAGCGUUGUCCGGAUUGACUGGGCGUAAAGCGCACGCAGGCGGAUGCGCGCGUGGGGUGUGAAAUCUGGCCGCUUAACGGCCAGGCGCCAUCCCAUACGGCGCGUCUGGAGUGAUGCAGAGGUCGGUGGAAUUGCCGGUGUAGUGGUGAAAUGCGCAGAUAUCAGGAGGAACACCAAUGGCGAAGGCAGAUCUCUGGGCCGUAACUGACGCUGAGGAGCGAAAGCAUGGGGAGCGAACAGG